rnacentral:rRNA from 1 species
UACGUAGGGGGCAAGCGUUGUCCGGAUUUACUGGGCGUAAAGCGCCUGUAGGCGGCCUGUCAAGUCCGGCCUGAAAGCCCCCCGCUCAACGGGGGAGGGUGGCUGGAAACUGGCAGGCUUGAGGGCGAGAGAGGAGGGUGGAAUUCCUGGUGUAGCGGUGAAAUGCGUAGAGAUCAGGAGGAACACCGGUGGCGAAGGCGGGGGUCCUGGGCCCAGUAC